CCUACGGGAGGCAGCAGUGAGGAAUAUUGGUCAAUGGCCGCAGGGCUGAACCAGCCAAGUCGCGUGAGGGAUGACGGUCCUAUGGAUUGUAAACCUCUUUUGUCAGGGAGCAAAGGGCGCCACGUGUGGCGUUUUGCGAGUACCUGAAGAAAAAGCAUCGGCUAACUCCGUGCCAGCAGCCGCGGUAAUACGGGGGAUGCGAGCGUUAUCCGGAUUUAUUGGGUUUAAAGGGUGCGCAGGCGGAAUGUCAAGUAAGCGGUAAAAUUUCGGGGCUCAACCCCGUCGUGCCGUUGAAACUGGCGGUCUUGAGUGAGCGAGAAGUAGGCGGAAUGCGUGGUGGAGCGGUGAAAUGCAUAGAUAUCACGCAGAACUCCGAUUGCGAAGGCAGCAUACCGGCGCUCAACUGACGCUCAUGCACGAAAGCGGGGGUAUCGAACAGGAUUAGAUACCCGGGUAGUC
rnacentral:rRNA from 1 species